UAGCUCAGUUGGGAGAGCGCAUCGUUCGCAAUGAUGAGGCCAGCGGUUCGAUUCCGCU
rnacentral:tRNA from 2 species